AACUARCUAACUGAMMUCAAUUUUGAUCUACAAUAUAUYGUYUAAAUAAUAUAACCAUUAUUUAAAUUUUCAUCUAGUGAUGGAMAAUGAYMAGGUACMGGGAAAAAAAUGAUGUCACUUUUACUAGAAUAAAAKUGUUGUCCAAGGUACUGGUGCCACAARACUCGGUAAGGCCAGAAACGCAAACGUUAGUCGCAUUAACCAGGCGUAAAGGGUUGGUAGGCAGCUUASAAAAUUUAUUUUUUAAUAUAAGCUCUUAAUUAAAUUGAAUUGAAUAUAUGAGUUUGAUUUAAUUAUAGUAACAAAUAAAUUGUAUAUAAGAUAGAAUCAUAUAGAGGUUAAGCCGAAUCAUGCUAGGUGUAGGGCCAAAAUCCGUAUAUAUCAAGUGGAGAUACUCAGUGGUGAAAGCUUUUUAUCUAUUAAUGAUCGACGCUCAGAAACGAAGGUGGGAUUAGGAAAUAGGAUUAGAGACCCAGAUACCCCCACUGUCAACGAUGAAUGGUGGAUGUUAGUUUUAAUAAAAACUAGUACCUAUGUUAACGCGAUUACCAUUCCGCCUUGAGAGUACGGUCGCAAGACUGAAACCAAAAAAAUUAGUCGGUGCUCGGAGCAAACGAAGCGAAGCAGGUA
rnacentral:rRNA from 1 species